UGACAAGUUUCACCUUGGGUGUAAGCUGGU
rnacentral:piRNA from 1 species